rnacentral:rRNA from 1 species
AUUGAACGCUGGCGGCAGGCCUAACACAUGCAAGUCGAGCGGAUGAAGGGAGCUUGCUCCUGGAUUCAGCGGCGGACGGGUGAGUAAUGCCUAGGAAUCUGCCUUGUAGUGGGGGAUAACGUCCGGAAACGGGCGCUAAUACCGCAUACGUCCUGAUGGAGAAAGUGGGGGAUCUUCGGACCUCACGCUAUCAGAUGAGCCUAGGUCGGAUUAGCUAGUUGGUGGGGUAAAGGCCUACCAAGGCGACGAUCCGUAACUGGUCUGAGAGGAUGAUCAGUCACACUGGAACUGAGACACGGUCCAGACUCCUACGGGAGGCAGCAGUGGGGAAUAUUGGACAAUGGGCGAAAGCCUGAUCCAGCCAUGCCGCGUGUGUGAAGAAGGUCUUCGGAUUGUAAAGCACUUUAAGUUGGGAGGAAGGGAAGUAAGUUAAUACCUUGCUGUUUUGACGGUACCAACAGAAUAAGCACCGGCUAACUUCGUG